GUGUCCCUCRCAUGCUUUUGACGGGUAACGGGGAAUUAGGGUUCGACUCCGGAGAGGGAGCCUGAGAAAUGGCUACCACAUCCAAGGAAGGCAGCAGGCGCGCAAAUUACCCAAUCCCGACACGGGGAGGUAGUGACAAGAAAUACUGAUACAGGACUCUUUUGGGUCUUGUAAUUAGAAUGAGAACAAUUUAAAACCAUUAACGAGGAACAAUUGGAGGGCAAGUCUGGUGCCAGCAGCCGCGGUAAUUCCAGCUCCAAUAGCGUAUAUUAAAGUUGUUGCAGUUAAAAAGCUCGUAGUUGAACCUUGACCUUGAUGGGCUGGUCCGCCUCACCGCGUGAACUGGUUUGUUGAGGUCUUCCUCUUGGAGUACCGCAUGCCCUUUACUGGGUGUGCUGGAGAUCCAGGACUUUUACUUUGAAAAAAUUAAAGUGUUCAAAGCAGGCAAUUGCUCGGAUACAUUAGCAUGGAAUAAUAGAAUAGGACGUGUGGUUCUAUUUUGUUGGUUUCUAGGACCGCCGUAAUGAUUAAUAGGGAUAGU
rnacentral:rRNA from 1 species